CGAACGGGUGAGUAAUGCGUGACCAACCUGCCCCAUGCUCCAGAAUAGGCUCUUGGAAACGGGUGGUAAUGCUGGAUGCUCCAACUUGACGCAUGUCUUGUUGGGAAAGUGUUUAGUGGCAUGGGAUGGGGUCGCGUCCUAUCAGCUUGUAGGCGGGGUAAUGGCCCACCUAGGCUUCGACGGGUAGCCGGCCUGAGAGGGCGGACGGCCACAUUGGGACUGAGAUACGGCCCAGACUCCUACGGGAGGCAGCAGU
rnacentral:rRNA from 1 species